CCUACGGGUGGCAGCAGUGGGGAAUAUUGGACAAUGGGCGAAAGCCUGAUCCAGCCAUGCCGCGUGUGUGAAGAAGGCCUUCGGGUUGUAAAGCACUUUCAGUCGGGAAGAAAGCCUUUGGGCUAAUACCCUCGAGGAAGGACAUCACCCACAGAAGAAGCACCGGCUAACUCCGUGCCAGCAGCCGCGGUAAUACGGAGGGUGCGAGCGUUAAUCGGAAUUACUGGGCGUAAAGCGCGCGUAGGCGGUCUGAUAAGCCGGUUGUGAAAGCCCCGGGCUCAACCUGGGAACGGCAUCCGGAACUGGCAGGCUAGAGUGCAGGAGAGGAAGGUAGAAUUCCCGGUGUAGCGGUGAAAUGCGUAGAGAUCGGGAGGAAUACCAGUGGCGAAGGCGGCCUUCUGGACUGACACUGACGCUGAGGUGCGAAAGCGUGGGUAGCAAACAGGAUUAGAUACCCGGGUAGUC
rnacentral:rRNA from 1 species